AUAUAUCUGGUGACAAUUACUAACUUUUUUUAGGUGAUGAUGAAUACAUGUUCUUGAAAACUAGUUUCUCCAUCUAUCUAAGAUUGACCCCAAGCCCAAGAUAGUUAAUGGCAUAACUAUGUCUUCUCCAAUAACAACAUACCCAGUGUAAUCCCAUAGAAAGGGUCUGGGAGGGUAGAGUGUAAGUAGACUUACCCCUACCUCUUGGUGGUAGAGAGGUUGUUUCCGAAAUACCCCUGGCUCAACUUUGUCGUCUCCAUGAACAAAUAUUGGAAAAGAAAUCUAACAAAAGUACAACUGCAAGACAAAUAUAUGGUAUAUAUUUGGAUCUUUAGCACAACAAAAAUAUUAAUGUUCCAGUAGGCCCUUCAUAUAUUUCAAAAAACUAUCCAACAAAGGACAGAUAAAAAUAUGAAUCGUUAGUAGUUUAUUUUUGAAGACGCAGCACCAAGGAGUUGCUGGCAAAUUGAUAGCAUGGACAGAACUGGAGGAUUGUCCUCAUGUAACUGUGAGCACAACCUAGUGAAUGGAAGAACCCUUGACAAAGGAGAAUACUCUAUCAAAGUUAUAGUAUUGUUAUGCCUCUUCUUUAUUUAUAGAAGUUAUAACAGUAGUAGUAUCUGGGCCAGCUUGCAUGCACCUCAACUAUUCCAUAGGGUACUACUACAGGAUCACCCGCACAAGUACCGAAUAACUCUGCGCACCAAGGCUUAGGCAGAUGGAAGAGAUAAUCUAGCAUUUUUUGUCUCUACUGGGGUUUGAACCCAGGUCUCCAAAGUUGUCGCCCACUUUAUUGACCUCUAGGUCAUACCUUAGGUUGCAAAUGCCUCUUAUUUAUCAUUGAAGCCCCAAUAAAUCCUUUCUUUGUAAAGGUGAUUUCUUAGAAAGAAAGAUUUGUGUAUGGAUUCAUCUACAUUUAUAUCCCUACUUUUGUGCAAUAUUAGUUUUUGAUGCACGUGUGUUGCAUUUGAAUGCCAAACUAUGUAGUACACUUUUUUAAAAAUAAUGUUCAUAUUAUUUUAUUUUAUUUUUGAUGAAGAUAAUGUUGUAUUCAUCAGCAUUAAGGAUAUGCUGGAGACCUCGAAAAAUUGGUUUCCAACAAGAGAAAACAAAAAGGCCAAUAGAUUACAAAGUGCCUAUAAAAUCCAAAAUUUGUGCAGCUUCUUCUAUCCCUUCCUCUUUACACCAAAAAUAAAAAGUAGUCAAGCAGUUCCAUUUGACUUUCUCUAUUGAAUUAGCUUUGUUAUCAUAGCAUCUGCUAUUUCUUUCUUUCCAAAUACACCACCAAAUGCAUGAUGGUAUUAUACUCCACUUUUUCUUAGAUUUUCUCCCCCCUCUGCUGAUCCAGCAACUAAGUAGAUCUGUUGUAUGCUCAGGCAUAAUCCAUUCUGUAUGUGUUAGUCCCAAAAAAAGGUUCCACAAUUGUGUUGUCUCUUUGCAAUGGAGGAACAAAUGGUUGUUGGUUUCCUCAGUCUCAUUACAGAGAGAGCACCAAGAGGCAAUAUAGAAACCCCUCCUUUCAAUUUCUCAUGUGUGGAACAUGCUCUUCUGGCAACCAACCAAGAGAAAUACUUCACCAACCUUGGCACCUUGUUCCUCCAAAUCUGCUUCCAGGGGGGAAGCUUACCACCUGGAUGCUCCUUCACCUCCUUAAUAUAUAGCUUGUUAACAGAAAGGCUUCCAUCUCUAAAGUGUUUCCAUAUGAUAGAAUCCGUUUCUGCCGAUAACCCAUUGAACCCAUUGAGAACAUGUAAUAGCUCAGCCACUCUCUCAAUCUCCCAGUCAUUUAAAUGCCUUCUAAACACAAUAUUCCAUCCAUGAAUAGACCAUACCUCAGCCACUGUUUCUUCCGGAUUGGUACACAAGGAGAAUAGGUCAGGAAAUAAGACCAUCAGUGCCUCAUUUUCCAUUCCAAUUCUCUUUCCAGAAUAGGAUUUUCGUCCCAUUUCCCACCUUGUAGACUGUUUCUACUUAGAUCAGGCCACAAAUUUCUUAUUGUUAUUAUUAAACCAUAAAUUUAAGUGAACAAUUAUAAAUGGAAUAAUAAAGUAUCAGUUCCUAUGAAUAAUGGAUGUAAAUUUUUUUAUGAUUAUUAACUGUGCGCAUAUUAAAAGUUGCUAAAUCAGUAUAUGAAAAUAUCUAUAUAUAUUUAUAAUAUAUAAAGCUAGAUAUAGAUAAGGUGAUGUGACACCUUUCUAUAGCCUCCAAUUGCAUUUAUCUUUUUUCUCCUUUUUUGACUUUUCUCAUUUUAAAAUUAAUUCAUAUGUAAAAAUAAAAGUCAUACAUCUCUUAAUUACAACUUUUAAAUAUACCUUCUCUCAUUGCUAAGUUAUUAUUGUAUUGUUGGGGCACCUGUUUUAGAUAUAAUAUAAAUAAACAAGUAAACAUAAAAUAUAGAAUAUAUACUAAAUUAGGUGUUUUUAGUUGGGGUAUUGUAGUAAUUUAACGUUCUACUUAACAUCUAACUCACUCAGUGACUGCAAAUCACACUCGAGUUUUUUUUUAAGAAUAGAAAACUUAAAACAUUCAUAGUUUAAAAAUGUGAGAAAAUCCUUCAAUUUAUAGUCAACAAAGCGUAGUAUGAGCAUAGGCUUAUUGUGCUUUAUUAGAAAAGUCACAACCAUGUGGAAAGGUCACAACUCAUCAGAAAAGUCAUAACUCUUUGAGAAACUCACAACCCUUCAGAAAAGUGGCAACCCUUCAAUGUGAAAAGGUGUUUGCUUUCAAUAAAUAAAUGUAAUCAUAGAACCUAUAGAAGGUAUACUAAAUUGUGUGUUUUAAGAAAGAACAGAAAACUUUAAAAAAUUGUAGUUUACAAAUGUGAGAAAACCCCUCUAUUUAUAUCCAACAAUGGGUAGAAUGAACAUGUGCUUAUUGUGCCUUAUCAAAAAAGUCACAACCCUUCGGAAAGGUCACAACCCUUCAAUGUGAAAAUGUGUCGGCUUUUAAUAUAAUAUAAUAUAAUAUAAUAUAUAUAAACAUAAUACAAAAUAUAGAAGAUAUACUAAAAUGGGCGUUUUAAGAAAGACGAAUAGAAAACCUAAAAAAAAUUAGUUUAAAAAUGAGAACAAAUCCCUCUAUUUAUAGCCAACAAAGGAUAGUAUGAACAAGUCCUUAUUGUGCCUUAUUAAAAAGUAACACCCUUCGAAAAGGUCACAACUCAUUGGAAAAGUCACAACUCUUGAAAAAAGUGACAAUCCUUCGAGAAAGGUCAAAACCCUUCGAAAAAGUCACAAACCUUCAAUGUGAAAAGAUGUUCGCUUUUAAUAUAAUGUAACAUAAAUAUAAUAUAAUAUAAUAUAAUAUAAAAUAUAAAAAUAUACUAAAUUGGGUGUUCUAAGAAAGUAGGAAGAAUAGAAACCUUUAAAAAAAAUUAGUUUACAAAAUGUGAGAGAACCCUUCAAUUUAUAGUCAACAAAGGGUAGUAUGAACAUGUGCUUAUUAGGCCUUAUUGGAAAAGUCACAACGCUUCAAUCUGAAAAGGUGUUUGCUUUUAAUAAAAUAUAAUAUAAAAAAAAUAUAUAUAUACAAUAUAAAAUAUAGAAGAUAUACUAAAUUGGUGUUUUAAGAAAGAAGAAUAGAAAACUUCCAAAAAUUAUAGUUUAAAAAUGUGAGGAACACCUCUAUUUAUAGCCAACAAAGGGUAGUAUGAACAUGUGUCUUAUUAGGCCCUUAUUAGGAAAAGUCACAAACGCUUCAAUCUGAAAAGGUGUUUGCUUUUAAUAAAAUAUAAUAUAAAAAAAAUAUAUAUAUACAAUAUAAAAUAUAGAAGAUAUACUAAAUUGGUGUUUUAAGAAAGAAGAAUAGAAAACUUCCAAAAAUUAUAGUUUAAAAAUGUGAGGAACACCUCUAUUUAUAGCCAACAAAGGGUAGUAUGAACAUGUGUUUAUUGUGCCCUACCAAAAAAGGUACAACCCUUCGAAAAUGUCACAACUCAUCAAAAAAGUCACAACUUUUUGAAAAAGUCAUAACCCUUUGGAAAAGUCGCACCCAUUCAAUGUGAAAAGGUAUUUUGCUUUUAAUAUAACAAAAUAUAAAUAAAUAAAUAAAUAAAUAUAAUAUAAAAGAUAUAUUAAAUUGAAUGUUUUUUAAGUUGGGGGUAUUAUAGUAAUUUAAUAUUCAAAUUAGGGAGUUCAUGCUUUUAUGGUAGUAAGUAUAAGUAUAUAGAUAAUACCUAUAUAUAUUUCUAUCAAGACAUGAAUAGCAUCCUAAAUAUAAGGAUUCAACCUAGUUGUGCUUCAAUAAAUCCCUUCUUGUAUAGGUGAUUGUUAGAUUUCUUAGAAAGAAAG
rnacentral:lncRNA from 1 species